GGGUAGGUACAAAGAGAACGCCAACUCGCGAGAGCGCGCCAAUCUCAAAAAGCCAUCCUCAGUUCGGAUUGGAGUCUGCAACUCGACUCCAUGAAGUUGGAAUCGCUAGUAAUCGCGGAUCAGCAUGCCGCGGUGAAUACGUUCCCGGGCCUU
rnacentral:rRNA from 1 species